rnacentral:lncRNA from 1 species
AAUAAUAAUAAUAAUAAAAAUAUUACUAACCUCAGUGGUUCCUAGUAGGAGUUGACGACGGUUCUCAACCGAGGGUGAUUUUUUUUUCCCCAGAGGAUAUUUGACAAUGUCUGGAGAAAGUUUUGGUUACAACCAGGUGUGGUGUUGCCCCUGGCAUCUGUGAAUGGAGGCCAGGGAUGUUGCUAACCAUCAGACAACACACAGGACAGCCCCCGAAGCAAAGAAUGAGCCAGCCCAAAAUGUCAGUAGCGCCAAGGUUGGGAAACUCUGGGUUAAACUUAUUAAUGCACCAUGUGCUCUCAGGAGGGUAGAGGCCAAGAAGCAUUUUCUGUUGACUUAGCACAAACAAAGUUGCCCACAACAUAAAGGGCUUUCCCAGUCCAGGAAAAUGGAGUAAAGUGCUGGGUGUGAAGAAGGUCAGAGCCAGAGUGAGACCCAUUGUUCUGCAUGAGAGGGGGUGGGGAGAGUGGCAGUGACGCCAGAAAUCUCUGAGUGUGACUCACUGAGAGAAGCCAGCUGGAUGGCAGGGUUGCCAGAGCCUUUGUUCCAAGCUGCAUUUGAGUAGUGAGCUUGAGGUUUUUCCACAGAAGCUUCUCCAUUUCCACCUUUGCAAACUCUGGACUCCAAGGACGCAAGAUGGCCGGAAACAAGAUGGUGGAGCAUGAAGGCCCUUGCCAGAUGACAGCACUAUGCCCUU